UGAGAUUAAAGUUAUAGUUUUUACACAGCUGAAUAAACGUCAAGCAGACAGCUGAUUAUCAGAAGUGUGAGAUGCUGGAGAAUAUACUCCGGUGUCCUUUUAUAUUUUAGAUAGCAAUGAGCAAUCUGCAAAUUUCUUUAAAAUGUAAUAAACUAUCAUCUUGCCUUUAUUUUUAGUUAGCACAUACCUUAAACAUUUAAAGCUAUAAGCUAAUGAUCGUUAUGUAAGAGCAGAUACUGCUGGUGCAAUAAGCUGUACAUUUUACGUCCAAUGGAUGCAUGAUCUGGCAGCCCUAGUCAGCAUAAUCUUAUUGAUGAAAUUCAAUGACACAAAUCUGGGUGAGUAAAAGUUCACCGGGCAAUAUUGUAUAACCCUUUCAGACCUCAGCCGGGCUGUCUGGACAUUUCUUUUCUAUAAUAGCUUUAAAAAGGGUAAAAAUGUUGAACAAUCAAAACGAUUCUUUGACGUGAAUCAAUUUGAUUCUCAUGGGACUCAAUUAAGAUUCAACUUUUCAAAUGUUUUUAACAUAACACUAAUUGUAAACAUUUGUCUUGCAGGUGACUGAGCAAUGGAGAAGCUGGAUGAUGUAACAGUAUCUGUCCUUAAAGGAAGACCAUCCGCUACCACAGAAACCUGAAACAACUUCUUCACCCAGGGUAGUUGCAACAGGCCCUCCAACUGCUGAUGCUAAUGUAAGCCAGCUGAAAACCUUGCAGCUCCCCAGUCCUCCGGAAUAUGUUCUGUACACCGACAGUGAGUUGGAGCAAUGCCGAAAGAGUUACCUGGAGUUGGCCUGCUCCGGCAGGGAACAGGCAUGCGUCAUGUCAAAAGAACUGAGAUGCAGAUUGGUGAGAAAUACAAUCACAAGUAUGGUGUCCCUUUUGAGAGCAAGCCAAGGCCAAAUGGAGCGAUACCCCUCUAAGACCGAAAUCACUGCAAUGGCUAAAAAAGUUGUGGAAUAUUAUCCUAUGCUGCAGGAUAAUGAUGCAAGCGUAAAACACGAGAGCAUUAAUGCCAAGUUACAAAAAAGGCUGCAAAAUAUGAAAACCCCAGUAAAAAGGCAAGGACCAACACCGGAGAGGGGACGGCCCAAGAGAAGGCUCACUGACCUCUACCCAAGGGAUGAAGAAGCUGAUGAUGAAGAUGCUGAUCGCAGUUCUUCCAGUGGUGCAUCUACUCUGUUAUCACCUGUCAGAAAUUCUGACAAUGCCUCCACUUCAUCUGACAAGGAUAGUCGGCAAAUACAAGCAAGACAUUACAAAACAUUACAAGAAAUGUGUAAGAAGGCAAAACCAAACCAAGAAGAUGUGUCCCAGCUAUUAGACCUCGAGUUUGAAGCCAGAAGAUCCUUCAUUGACUCAGACACCAUGAAAGAGGAGAACAGAGCUUGCCUCAUCUUGGAUGCAUAUCCAUGCUUUAAAGAAUUGCAUCAUGCGUUGGGUGAGCUUCGCAGAAUUUUGGAUCCCCACAACAACAAGUUCAUCAGUCAAGUAAAACUGAGAUGGGAAGAAUUCUGCUCCAGGGUAGAGUUCUACGGUGUGUCAAAGAAGGCAAUGAAUCCACCAAUGACCAUGGACAAAACUGAAGCCCACCUUGCACUGAUGAAGGCUCUUCCAACCCUCUUUCCCACACCUGCCCAUCCACCAAAGAAGAUGGGGAAUGCUUCUGAAGCAUUUCUACAUGUCCUGAAGCCUACAGAAGAUCCAGAUGCUGUCCUCCAGAAACGAAGCUUGUCAUGUCCAGUAGUGAUGUUCGAUGGCUGCAAGUGUGUCAUUGCUGUUGGUAAUUUACCAGUUACAACAUUUGACAAAGAAAAAAUUGGUGAGGCUAUGAUAUAUGUGAUGGCAUACUUUUAUGCACUCCAUCUGACUUACCACAAAUGCGUGGCAACCCUGCUGUCUGUCAUUCAGACAGAAGUUCUCCAGGAUGCCAUUCAUGAGCAUGACACUACAUCAUCUUACAGAAAAGCCCUGGCAGAAUGGCAUGCAUUUAUUGGAAAGUAGUGUGUAAAUUUCAGAUAAGAUUAGGAGAGGGCACUUCUGUUUUGUUUUUGUUUGUUUUUUCAAUCUGGGUCUUAUUUCUAAAAUGGAAAAUGUUCAUUUACUCACCCAGACAAGUUUUGUGGUAUUUGGUGUCAUUCGGAAGAAAUUUGAAUCUUUGUGGUCUUCCUAUGUCACUCGUCAAUUUUAAUGGGGCAAUGGCGAAACCUCUAAGGCUGUUGAAAUGUUGAAACCACUUAAACAAACUCAUAAUGUUGGACCUGUACUGUUCAAUUGUAUCUUUAUUAUCUGCAGGUUAUUGUUAAAGUGGACAAAUAAAGAUGGACACUUUUACUCUG
ensembl:lncRNA